rnacentral:tRNA from 1 species
GAGCCCGUGGAUCAAUGGUAGAACAUUCGACUCAAUAACCAAAAGUCGUGGGUUCGAAUCCCACGUGUUCC